CCUACGGGAGGCUGCAGUAGGGAAUCUUCCACAAUGGUCGAAAGCCUGAUGGAGCAACGCCGCGUGGGUGAAGAAGGUCUUCGGAACGUUAAACCCUGUUGUUCGAGAAGCAAGUACGUGAGCGUAACUGUUCACGUUUCGACGGUAUCUAACCACAACGCCACGGCUAACUACGUGCCAGCCGCCGCGGUAAUAAGUAGGUGGCAAGCGUUAUCCGGAUUUAUUGGGCGUAAAGGGAACGCAGGCGGUCUUUUAAGUCUCAUGUGAAAGCCUUCGGCUUAACCGGAGUAGUGCAUUGGAAACUGGGAGACUUGAGUGCAGAAGAGGAGUGUGGAACUCGAGGUGUAGCGGUGAAAUGCGUAGAUAUAUGGAAGAACACCAGUGGCGAAGGCGGCUCUCUGGUCUGUAACUGACGCUGAGGUUCGAAAGCGUGGGUAGCAAACAGGAUUAGAUACCCCUGUAGUC
rnacentral:rRNA from 1 species